UACGAAGGGGGCUAGCGUUGCUCGGAUUCACUGGGCGUAAAGGGCGCGUAGGCGGACAGUUAAGUUGGGGGUGAAAGCCCGGGGCUCAACCUCGGAACUGCCUUCAAUACUGGCUGUCUUGAGUGUGAGAGAGGUGAGUGGAACUCCGAGUGUAGAGGUGAAAUUCGUAGAUAUUCGGAAGAACACCAGUGGCGAAGGCGACACACUGGCUCACUACUGACGCUGAGGCGCGAAAGCGUGGGGAGCAAACAGG
rnacentral:rRNA from 1 species